UUAAGCAGUGCAUUUAUUUUAUCUUAUUUUAGACAGAAAUAGUGCAGUCCUUUAAUUCUAUUCGGCCGACGGAUUGAUUAAUGAAAUAAUUAAAUUUUAAAAUUCAACCUUAAAACACUAAACCUACUUUAAUGGUGCUCAAUUGUCAAUUCAACUCAACUCUACGAAACUUUGUUAGCCGCCUCCGUCUCAAAAUUGUCAUUCUCCCCUCUUCACACUUCAAAGCACCCUCACCCUAUUCUCCUCUCCCUCACGUCACAGGCCAGGCUUAGUCUAAAGUUGUCAUAGCUUGUUUAAUGCAAGGUAUAGUAUGGUCCGUUUUCAUCUUGGAAUGAGAAAUAGCAUUGCCAUUGCGGUUCCUCUGAGAUUGAGACCAAACAUUAGCAACACUCUACCACAUCACAAGUUCUGGCCAACCUGCUUUCACAGCCAUGAAGGUACGCACACCACAGCUUUAACGCUUUUAAUAGCCUAGGGCACUUCAUUCGUCGCAUGUUCUUGUUCCUCCCCUCUCUCUCUGACAUACCAUUAGUUGCGUGCCCUACUCCGCUCCUCAAACAAAGCCCAUGGCGCUUCAUUUCGUGGUUCAACUCCCCAUUCUAUUUGAGUUCUCUUACGCCUUCACAUUGCUGAAGUUUUGUUGUCUUAUUUAUGUGAAAAUCAACGACAUUCAUUUGUUGCUAUUUUUGUUGUUUUACCUUUGGAUGACUAAGGCCGAAAGAAUGAUAUGGGUAUGCAUACAAGAGAAUAAGUGAUAACUCUAGAUGAUGGCUGAGAAGCACUGUGUGCACUUGUUGAACCAUUCUUUGGUUAUUUUUUUCCUGAAGUUUUAUUAUUAUGUUUGCUUUCUUAGAUUCUUAGCCGGUUCAACCGUGCUCGUGCAGCUCAA